rnacentral:rRNA from 1 species
AUGGAAUUGGUCGAGCUACGCACGACAUCUUUGGCUGAGGCAAUGUUUGACAAGCUUGAGCUCCCAAGACCAGUUUACCAUGUGCAUAUGCUUGAGCAAGGCGGAUAUAGGGCACAGAUUGAGUUUCACCAUACCAGAGAGCGUUAUAAUGCUUCCGCACGCCGGACUAAAUUGUUGAGCCAUACAUGUGUUAGCAGAGAGGCAGCAAUGGAUCAGGCAGCCGAUCAAGCAAUUACAUACAUGGAAAAUAAUGAAAACAAGGUUCUUGCUGAUUAUAACUACUAUCGGCUGCAACAAGAAAAACAAUCUUGUGCAAGGCUUUCAGAUACCUUGUCAGAGAGAACGAAAGAAGUCAACCAGCGCAACCAGACCAUCAUACAGAUGACUAAAGAGGCGUCCAAUUAUCUGGAAGAAGUGCAUGCUGCAUCAGACAAGAUCCAUGGUCUUGCUGCCACUGCCUUAGACCCUGCUGCCAGCCUGUCUCUUUCCACUCUAAAACAAACUAUUUUGGCGAUUCAAGAUUCACUUGUUGCUCUUCAAAGCACUACCGCCGCUGCACGUGCCUCCCUAGAGGAAAAGGGCAUGUACUCAGAGGAUGAUGUGGCUCAACCAACCUACGAUGGGCUUUCUGAUGAAGAGACCGAUGAAGAUUGCCAUCAAGACAUGGAUGAUGACUACGCUCACUAUGUGCGAUCCCCAUGA